ensembl:lncRNA
CUGCCGCCCGGCUCGCGGGUCGGGUCGGCCGCCUGAGGUCAACCUUUGCGCGCCGCCUGAGGCCCGCUUUCCCCUUGGAGCAAGGUGGCGCAACAUCUGUUGGAAAAGAGAGAGCGCGGGUCGAGAGCUCAGUCAGUAUCUGUCAGCGCCUCCGGGGCCCGCACCUGAGGUGGAGAGCGGACGGGCUGACCCGGCGAACCGCGCUCUGGGAGCCGCGUCCUGCUGCAAGCGACGCGCACACGCCCGUGAAAUUAAUGGUUCAGAGAGCUGUCUGUGUGGAGGAAUGAAGCAGAGGAUCGAACUCGGGUCCUUGCACUUGUGCAGCAGGUGGCGAAACCACUGAGCUAAAUCCCCAGCCCCCAAUAAUCAAUCUUGACAUAGAGUGUGUUCUGGAUGUCGGACGGAGGUCAGAAAACCAGACUCUGGAGUGAGGCGCAUACCUGGAUUUGAACCCCAGCUUCGUCAGUGCAAGCGACCCAGCCUGUCCAAGACCCCAUCUGUGUGAGUGGGAACAGGGGUGACAUUUGGCAGGAAGGGCUGCUGCGAAAUGUUCCGCAAAAGAACAUUUGUCUGGCAGUCAGCACAGUGCUGGAUAGAUGGUGGCUACUGUUUCGUCUCCUGUGGGACGUGCUGUACUCAGGGAAAGAGGAUCGCCUCCUUCCAGAUCGAAUGAAUCAAUCGGCCUAUCUGCGAGUGUAUUCCUGAGACUCCAUUGGGGAAAACCAGGCGCCCGAUAGAGGCGCUCAUAUAGGAGUUGCCCUGCAGGCAGCACAAGGGCAACUGAGGAGAGCAGACCAGAGAAGAGAGAG